AGCGAACGCUGGCGGCAGGCUUAACACAUGCAAGUCGAACGCCCCGCAAGGGGAGUGGCAGACGGGUGAGUAACACGUGGGAACGUACCCUUUGGUUCGGAAUAACUUGGGGAAACUCAAGCUAAUACCGGAUAAGCCCUUAUGGGGAAAGGUUUACUGCCGAAGGAUCGGCCCGCGUCUGAUUAGCUAGUUGGUGAGGUAAUGGCUCACCGAGGCGACGAUCAGUAGCUGGUCUGAGAGGAUGAUCAGCCACACUGGGACUGAGACACGGCCCAGACUCCUACGGGAGGCAGCAGUGGGGAAUAUUGGACAAUGGGGGCAACCCUGAUCCAGCCAUGCCGCGUGAGUGAUGAAGGCCUUAGGGUUGUAAAGCUCCUUUACCCGGGACGAUAAUGACUGUACCGGGAGAAUAAGCCCCGGCUAACUUCGUGCCAGCCGCCGCGGUAA
rnacentral:rRNA from 1 species